GCCAGCAUGGUGUAGUGGUUAGAGCAUCAGGCUAGGACCCAGGAGACCAGGGUUCAAAUCCCCACUUGGCC